rnacentral:rRNA from 1 species
AGAGUUUGAUCCUGGCUCAGAGUGAACGCUGGCGGCAGGCCUAACACAUGCAAGUCGAACGGCAGCACAGGAGAGCUUGCUCUCUGGGUGGCGAGUGGCGGACGGGUGAGGAAUACAUCGGAAUCUACCUUUUCGUGGGGGAUAACGUAGGGAAACUUACGCUAAUACCGCAUACGACCUUCGGGUGAAAGCAGGGGACCUUCGGGCCUUGCGCGAUUAGAUGAGCCGAUGUCGGAUUAGCUAGUUGGUGAGGUAAAGGCUCACCAAGGCGACGAUCCGUAGCUGGUCUGAGAGGAUGAUCAGCCACACUGGAACUGAGACACGGUCCAGACUCCUACGGGAGGCAGCAGUGGGGAAUAUUGGACAAUGGGCGCAAGCCUGAUCCAGCCAUGCCGCGUGGGUGAAGAAGGCCUUCGGGUUGUAAAGCCCUUUUGUUGGGAAAGAAAAGCAGUCGAUUAAUACUCGAUUGUUCUGACGGUACCCAAAGAAUAAGCACCGGCUAACUUCGUGCCAGCAGCCGCGGUAAUACGAAGGGUGCAAGCGUUACUCGGAAUUACUGGGCGUAAAGCGUGCGUAGGUGGUGAUUUAAGUCCGUUGUGAAAGCCCUGGGCUCAACCUGGGAAUUGCAGUGGAUACUGGGUCACUAGAGUGUGGUAGAGGGUAGCGGAAUUCCCGGUGUAGCAGUGAAAUGCGUAGAGAUCGGGAGGAACAUCUGUGGCGAAGGCGGCUACCUGGACCAACACUGACAC